rnacentral:lncRNA from 13 species
AUGAAGUGUGCCUUCUCGUCUUUCAUGAGUGUCAGAGUAAUUUCUUUAACAGUGAUCAGACCACACAGUGGUGAGUCCAACGUGCAGGUCAGAGCAAGCAGUCAAGAAGGAAAGGCCAGAAACAGGUGGAAAGCCUACCAGGACAAGCUAGAGCCCCACAAGGACAGACUGAAGCCCAUGUUCUUGGUGAUGAGGGCAUCCUACAGAAGUCAGGCCUUUGUUCCAGAUCUGAACACAUACACCUGGCCCAGCUCCUGCAUCACAUCAACAAGAGAGAAAUUUGAAGCAAGGCCACAAAACCAAUCCAUCACAGUUCCCCAGGGACUCCAACCACAACCGAUGACAUGAACAACCAUCAGUGUUCUUCAACUCGAAGAACUUGGGAAGACCAAUAGCCAUAAAAGACAUCCUGUAAUUAAAACUGCCAACCACUAUCCAUCUAAUAUUUCAGGCUAUGUGGGAGUGCAUGGG